CUACGUGCCAGCAGCCGCGGUAAUACGUAGGGGGCAAGCGUUAUCCGGAUUCAUUGGGCGUAAAGCGCUCGUAGGCGGUCUGUUAGGUCGGGAGUUAAAUCCGGGGGCUCAACCCCCGUUCGCUCCCGAUACCGGCAGACUUGAGUUUGGUAGGGGAAGGUGGAAUUCCUAGUGUAGCGGUGGAAUGCGCAGAUAUUAGGAAGAACACCAGUGGCGAAGGCGGCCUUCUGGGCCAUAACUGACGCUGAGGAGCGAAAGCUAGGGGAGCAAACAGGAUUAGAUACCCUGGUAGUCCUAGCCGUAAACGAUGGACACUAGGUGUGGGGGAAUAUUUCUUCCGUGCCGCAGCUAACGCAUUAAGUGUCCCGCCUGGGGAGUACGGCCGCAAGGCUAAAACUCAAAGGAAUUGACGGGGGCCCGCACAAGCAGCMGGAGCAUGUGGUUUAAUUCGAUGAUACGCGAGGAACCUUACCCGGGCUUGAAUUGCAGUCGCUGCCCACAGAGA
rnacentral:rRNA from 1 species